UCAUUCGCUCCAUCACCUAAAGUGUUAAAAAAAAAAAAAAAAAAAGCUCUUGGGUCCCACCGUAAGAGCGCAUAAAGAGAGGAGGUACAAUGACCGUCCUUUGCCAUUGUAGGGCUCCCUAAUUUAUGCGUUUUUAGACCCUUAAGCAUCAUUUUGUGGGCAACCAAACGGGCACUUCCAAAUUAGCUCAAAGUAUCCAAGCCCAAGGAAGAGAGAAAACACACAUACACUGAUAAAUACGCAGAUGCUAACUUUUUUACCCGAAUACUUAGACAUUAUGAACUCUCUACUAAAUACUGAACAAGACAAAGCAUAAGACAAAAGAAGUGUGCAAAGCAUGUUGAUUAAAUUUUGAAAACAAUCUUGCAGCAAUAAUAAUGAUAACGAGAAAACGAAGAUAACACUUUUAAGUUUUCCUGGAAACUGGAGCAGGAGAAAGAAAAACAAGGAGAGUGCUUUCUUAAGCAACAUUUUAUUUUAUUUUUUUUCCAGAAAAGGGUGUGUGGAAACGAUUUAAGUUUAACCUGACAGUACAUGUCUUGAAGGCAGGAACAGUAUUACAUAUUCCUUUUUCUGUUUGGUUUUAGCCCUUUAGUGGAAAUGUUCUCCAUGGUUUUGUUCUUAUGAUUUUAAGAAUUGUUUUGUUCAUCUCAGUAUAGUUUUGCAAAGAAUCUGCCCUUUCUAGGGGGGAAAAAGCCAUAGGUCACCUAUGGGAAGGAAGUGACAGACGAAUGUUAAGAGCAAUGUUUUAAUAUACUGUAAAAAUAAAAUGCAAGGUUUCAGGAAUUGUUUACAGACAUCAGGAUUGACUUAGCAAGAUUAAUAUUGCUACAGUUUUAACACGAUGCUACUUUUACAGGUCUUCUGUGAACUUGAAACAUAUCGGCUAGGUCUUCAUCCUCACCUGCACUGGAAUUACCUACUUAAAAAAAACAAACUAAUGAUACACAAAGAAGCAUUUAUUUAUGUAUUUAAACCCUUGCUGGGAUCCUUCUGAAAACUACAGUUUGGAUUUUACAUUUCCGGUUUAGUUUAAAUUGUAUUGUUUACUUGUAUGUAUUAGCCUAAAUAAAAUAAUAGUCGUUUCAAACGUUUCUCCGACACAAGAGGGUAAGUAAAAAAUAAUUGUGUUAUGACAUCUGUGAAUAUAAAAGUUAUUUGUGGCCCAUUAUAUUUUAUUUUUCAAGUUCAAACGUAUUUCAGAAAUGAAACCCAUUAUCAUAAUCUCCAUAUUGAUUAGUUGUCCAAAUUGAAAGGUGUUUACAAUUUUAAUUUUUUCCAGAUGAUUAUUACUCUGUUUUCAGGCUAUAUAUUUCAUCUCAUGUAAUUUUCUUUGUAGAACUUUGACAUAGCAGUUAGCAUCAAGUGGUUGUACUACAAUUUUUGCUUAUUUUGUUUUUCAACUGCAUUGGGUCCUGUUAUAAGUGCAUAUACAUCUGGAAUGCUUCCAUCUUUAAAUUAAAAGCACUUUAUCACAUCUGAA